AGAUAGAGUUUCGGCGGUUGCUAAAUGCUUAAAUAAGUGUUGGUAAAUUAGCAGCACUCUUUUAGGUUAUAGCGACACUCUUUAACUGUCGCUAUAUACCUAGCGACCCCACAUAUAGCAAUACUUUUUAAAAGUGUCGGUAAUUUUAGCUAGUAGCACUUUUUUGACAUGUACCUAUAUUUAAAAGUGUCGCUAUAGCCGUUUUUGUUGUAGUGUAAACAUAUAAGAAAGAAGGAAAACUUGUUAACCAAAAUUUGACUCAUUGUGACUAUAGACGUCAUUUUAGUUAUUUAAUUAAGUAUAAAAAUUAAAAUUUAAAAAUAAAUGAGAAUUUGAGUGUCUUAAGUCAAAAAAAUAUAUAUUUAAUUUAUCUAUAUUUAUAGU
rnacentral:lncRNA from 1 species